UACGUAGGGGGCAAGCGUUGUCCGGAUUUAUUGGGCGUAAAGAGCGUGUAGGCGGUCAGGUAGGUCCGUUGUGAAAACUCGAGGCUCAACCUCGAGACGCCGAUGGAAACCAUCUGACUAGAGUCCGGAAGAGGAGAGUGGAAUUCCUGGUGUAGCGGUGAAAUGCGCAGAUAUCAGGAAGAACACCCGUGGCUAAGGCGGCUCUCUAGUACGGUACUGACGCUGAAACGCGAAAGCGUGGGGAGCAAACAGG
rnacentral:rRNA from 1 species